AUAACAUUUGAGGAGGCGAUUAGACUAAAGAGAGUUAGGAGGACAUGAAGAAGAUGAUGGAAGAGGAAAGUGUGGAAUCCUGGUAUUCCCAUGCACACAAAAAGGCGGAACAAUUGGAGAGCAGGCAUGAAUACCAAGAGGCUAAACCUGUCGCAAGGGAAAUUUGGAACAGGAGUCAUGAUUUUCGCAGUACAAUGCACAGUUUUGGUUUUCAUGAAGCAAUCCAUCAAUGAUGUUUUUCAAGACUUACGGGAUGAAAAAAAUAUGUAGUUGAACACUGAAAGCAUUCUAAGGUCUUGCCCAUGAACUUCCUGUUUAGAAACCAUGCAGUAAUUGCUAAUUGUAAUUGUGUUCCAAAUCUCUGCAACCAGCUGUCUGUGUUUUCUGCUGUUGUUCAAGAAACAGGUGAAGUCAAUACUAAUUUUUGAAAUUUACACAAGUCACCUGGGGAGAUUCAAUGUUGAUUAUUUACCAUGACAGUUUGCUUUACCUAUGUAUUCAUUUCUUAGAAAAUGGAUUUUCUUAUAUCACAUUGCUCAUAACAGCACAAGUUAGAAUUGAUAUGUGAUGAUAAGACCAUUACUUCACAAAACUAAAGAGGGCAAAGUGGACAGCAAUGAUAGACAAAUGUUUGGGACGUUAUAAAUGUUUCAUUUCGCACUAACAAAUCAGUCCUUGGCCAUUAUUUCUAUUUAUAAGGGCUAAGUCUAUUAGUCAAAUAAAUGUACCACAAUAUUUUUACA
rnacentral:lncRNA from 1 species